rnacentral:sRNA from 1 species
AUAAAAAGUUUAAUAUAUCAUAAUUUUUUAACAUCACUAUAUAAUAUAUAGAGUUUAAAAAAUUUCAAUUCUUUCUGUCAUAUUUUGUGAUUCAAAAUUUUAAAAAUGAAUAUAUAUUAACCAAUUGGCGAAAAAUGUGUGAGUUCAAUGUCCCACAUCGACUAAAAUAUUUAGACAAUGAUUCAUAAACAUAUCAUAAAUAAGAUUAACAUUAAUAAAAUAAUGGCUUUUUUACGGGACGGGUUUGGCGGGACGGGUUUGGCAGGAUGUUACUUAAUAACAAUUGUAAAUUAUAAAAUAAAAAUAUUUUAUAGAUAGAUACAAUUUGCAAAUUUUAUAUAUACUAACUUUAAAAUAUAAAUUGUCAUCGCGGUGUACCGCGGAUUAAAAUCUAUUAUCUCCAUAAAAAGGAGACGGUAUAGCACGGGUGAAAUCCAAUAGAUAUGUUUAGUUUCACUGAACGAGAUUAGAUGGUAGGACGAGUUUGGGUCGAUAGUAAUACGAAACGGUAUAUCACGUGUGAAGUCAUAGAUAUAACAAUCAAAAUAUAAUUAUAUUAUCUUAAAUACUAAACAAAACAAAAAAAAAUUAAAAAAAUAAAAAUAUAAUU